UGUUUUAGUCUAGUUAGAGGAACCUGUGUUAUAAACGAAACAACACGCAUUAUCUUACUUAUUUUAGUAAGUCAGUUUGUAUACCGUCAUUAUUAGAUAAUUUAGGAGAAAAUAUUAUUGAGGUCAUAUUAUUGAGUAUAUUAGAUCAAGGUGCAGCUUAUGAGUAAGUAAAUAUGGGUUACAAUAAAAUUUAUUUAGUAUGAAUUAAGUAUUAAAAUAUAUUUAUGAAGGAGGAUUUAAUUGUAAGAAAAAAGUAGUAAGGUUUUUUGAUAAGAGCUCUAAAUUAU
rnacentral:rRNA from 1 species